rnacentral:rRNA from 1 species
UGGCGGACGGGUGAGUAAUGCGUGAGCAACCUGCCUUGGAGAGGGGGACAACAGCUGGAAACGGCUGCUAAUACCGCAUGAAGUUACUGGGGGCAUCCUUUGGUAACCAAAGAUUUAUCGCUCUGAGAUGGGCUCACGUCUGAUUAGUUAGUUGGUAGGGUAACGGCCUACCAAGACCGCGAUCAGUAGCCGGACUGAGAGGUUGAACGGCCACAUUGGGACUGAGAUACGGCCCAGACUCCUACGGGAGGCAGCAG